AUUGAACGCUGGCGGCAGGCUUAACACAUGCAAGUCGAGCGGAGAUGAGGUGCUUGCACCUUAUCUUAGCGGCGGACGGGUGAGUAAUGCUUAGGAAUCUGCCUAUUAGUGGGGGACAACAUUCCGAAAGGAAUGCUAAUACCGCAUACGUCCUACGGGAGAAAGCAGGGGAUCUUCGGACCUUGCGCUAAUAGAUGAGCCUAAGUCGGAUUAGCUAGUUGGUGGGGUAAAGGCCUACCAAGGCGACGAUCUGUAGCGGGUCUGAGAGGCUGAUCCGCCACACUGGGACCGAGACACGGCCCAGACUCCUACGGGAGGCAGCAGUGGGGAAUAUUGGACAAUGGGGGGAACCCUGAUCCAGCCAUGCCGCGUGUGUGAAGAAGGCCUUAUGGUUGUAAAGCACUUUAAGCGAGGAGGAGGCUACUGAGACUAAUACUCUUGGAUAGUGGACGUUACUCGCAGAAUAAGCACCGGCUAACUCUGUGCCAGCCGCCGCAGUAAGAC
rnacentral:rRNA from 1 species